GACAAACUUCCUUAAAAGGAUUGGCUUGUGUUGUUAUUAUUAAGUCUAACAAGUCCAAAAGCUGGAGUGUGAGGCAGGAGGCUGGAAACCCAGGAAAGCUGAUGGUGCAAGGUCCAGUCCAAAGGUAUCUGUUGGAGGAUUCUCUUGUUCUGGGAAGAGGACGGUCUUUUUUUCUCUUCAGACCUUCACCUGACUGGAUCAAGCCCACUAACAUCGAGGAGGACAGUCUGCAUUACUCAGAGUUCACUGAUUGAUUUAAAUGUCAAUCUCAUAUAAAACACCCUCACAGAAACACCUAGAAUAAUGUUUGACCUUAUAAUUGGAAAAUCAGAGCAAAAGUUAAAUCUCUAAAAAAAAAAAAAAAAAAAGUAUGACCCAGUAGCUAGGCACCUGUGGCCCCGCCAAGUUGACACAUAAAAUUAACUGUCACAGUAUCAUCUUAGAAGUGAAAGAAGCCCCUUUAUCCUGCAGUGCCCCUCUACCACCACCUACUGACAAAGAACAUGGUGCUAUCUGGCAUGGGAGAAAUGUUCAGUUUGCUAUGGCUUGUAUGUGUCCCCUCAAAUUCAAGUGUUGCCAAUGUGACAGCAUCAAGAGGUGGGGUCUUUAAGAGAUCACUAGGCCAUGAAGGAUUCUCUUAGGACUGGGAUGAAGGCCCAUAAUAAAAGAGGUUUCAGGGAGCAUCCUGCUAGCUUGCCUUCUGUAUGUGAGAACACAGCAAGAAAGCCCUAGUCAACAAGUGCCAGCUCCUUGAUCUUAGACUUCCCAUCCUCCA
rnacentral:lncRNA from 10 species